rnacentral:rRNA from 1 species
CAGCCGCCGCGGUAAUACGGAGGGGGCUAGCGUUGUUCGGAAUUACCGGGCGUAAAGCGCACGUAGGCGGCUUGGUAAGUUAGAGGUGAAAGCCCGGAGCUCAACUCCGGAAUUGCCUUUAAGACUGCCGAGCUAGUAGGUGAGAGAGGUAAGUGGAAUUCCGAGUGUAGAGGUGAAAUUCGUAGAUAUUCGGAAGAACACCAGUGGCGAAGGCGGCUUACUGGCUCAUUCUAGACGCUGAGGUGCGAAAGCGUGGGGAGCAAACAGGAUUAGAGACCCCUGUAGUCCCUGUCUCUUAUAC